UUCUAGGCUUCUAAUUCUUGAUAUAUUUAUUGGGUUAGCUUCAUUAAGCAUAGAAUUGAUGACUAGAACCUAUAAUUGCAUGAUUUCUUCCUAAUUAGAGGCUAAAUUAUGGGAUUGGAGGUUAGGGUUUAUACUCAAAUUUGGGGGUUUUGCCUAGAAUCCGAAUUUGAGUAAAUUGUUGGUUCUUCUAGCUUGAUAUUGAUGGGAAUUGAUCACUUAGAGCUUUAAUUUCAUGUUGAGACCUUUAGAUUCCUAAUUUCACCUUUCUAGUUCAUAAACCCUAUUCCAUAGGUUGGGAAUUUGGGUCUUGAAUAUAAGUAGGGUUUGAAUGAUGUUCUUCUUGAUUCUAACUCCAUGAUUCGAAUAUGUUAGACUUUCAUUAUCUCGAGGCUCAAAGGAAAGGGAAGACUAAGGAGUGAUUGUUGGAGACUUUGUUGUUCGGCAAUCCAGAGUAUCAGGUGGGAUUGACGUCUACUCCUCGUGGCUGAGAGUUUGAGGUUGCUGAUACGAGUCUUGUUGGAGUGAGCACGUGGACGCUUCGCCACCCGGAGACUCCUCUUUAUUUAUGUCUUACUUGAUAUCUUAGACAUAUUGAGACUAUUGAUGUAUUAUUAUCAUUCACACUUGUAGUAGUUAGUUAGUUGCUCUUGUAUACCAGAUCAGAUACUGGGUGUUUUCUCU